rnacentral:rRNA from 1 species
GAUGAACGCUGGCGGCGUGCCUAAUACAUGCAAGUCGAGCGAACAGACGAGGAGCUUGCUCCUCUGACGUUAGCGGCGGACGGGUGAGUAACACGUGGAUAACCUACCUAUAAGACUGGGAUAACUUCGGGAAACCGGAGCUAAUACCGGAUAAUAUAUUGAACCGCAUGGUUCAAUAGUGAAAGACGGUUUUGCUGUCACUUAUAGAUGGAUCCGCGCCGCAUGAGCUAGUUGGUAAGGUAACGGCUUACCAAGGCAACGAUGCGUAGCCGACCUGAGAGGGUGAUAGGCCACACUGGAACUGAGACACGGUCCAGACUCCUACGGGAGGCAGCAGUAGGGAAUCUUCCGCAAUGGGCGAAAGCUUGACGGAGCAACGCCGCGUGAGUGAUGAAGGUCUUCGGAUCGUAAAACUCUGUUAUUAGGGAAGAACAAAUGUGUAAGUAACUAUGCACGUCUUGACGGUACCUAAUCAGAAAGCCACGGCUAACUACGUG